rnacentral:misc_RNA from 1 species
GCAAACUUGGUCAUUUAGAGGAAGUAAAAGUCGUAACAAGGUCUCCGUUGGUGAACCAGCGGAGGGAUCAUUAUUGAGUUUUCUAAACUCCAAACCUUUGUGAACAUACCUAUGUUGCUUCGGCGGGUUCGUCCCGGGCGCGCCGUCAGGCGUGACCCGGAGUGAGGCGCCCGCCGGGGGAUACAAACUCUUGUUUUUAAGUGAACUUCUGAGUGGUAUAAGCAAAUAAUCAAAACUUUCAGCAACGGAUCUCUUGGUUCUGGCAUCGAUGAAGAACGCAGC